UCUUUUUUGGUUUCUAAAUUUUCACAAUCACUAAUUGCAGUUUGCAUUACAUGCAUCUUCUAAUCACGAGUGUGCGCCUUUAUGAGAGAGGAUCAAAUUCCCAGCCUAUCGAUUUUGGAAGACCUUUUUCUCUUGGACUUUAUCAAGAAGAGAAACGAGAGUCAACCCAUAUAAUAUCACUCGACAAGAUCACAAACCUCCCAAGAUGGCCGGUUUAUAAGAUCGAGAUUCUGUUUAUAAGGCCGGUGCGGAAAUAACACUACAAGAUUUGAUGAAUCUAUUCAUUUGCUUUCCUCUGCUUCUGGAAUUUUCUUCUUCGUUUAGUUUAUUCUUUCUGAUAUUGUUUAACAGACUCUUGUUCGAUGUAUAAUGUAGUAUUAUAAUAAUCUUGACAUAUC